AUUGAACGCUGGCGGCAUGCCUUACACAUGCAAGUCGAACGGCAGCACGGGGCAACCUGGUGGCGAGUGGCGAACGGGUGAGUAAUGCAUCGGAACGUACCUUUCAGUGGGGGAUAACGUAGCGAAAGUUACGCUAAUACAGCAUAUUCUGUGAGCAGGAAAGCAGGGGAUCGCAAGACCUUGCGCUGAUUGAGUGGCCGAUGUCUGAUUAGCUAGUUGGUGAGGUAGAGGCUCACCAAGGCGACGAUCUGUAGCGGGGCUGAGAGGAUGAUCGGCCACCCUGGAACUGAGACACGGUCCAGACUCCGACGGGAGGCAGCAGUGGGAAAUUUUGGACAAGGGGGGCAACCCUGAUCCAGACAUGCCGCGUGGGUGAAGAAGGCCUUCGGGUUGUAAAGCUCUUUCGGCGGGGAAGAGAUCGCACGGGCUAAUACCCUGUGUGGAUGACGGUACCGGAAUAAGAAGCACCGGCUAACUACGUGCCAGCCGCCGCGGUAACAC
rnacentral:rRNA from 1 species